rnacentral:rRNA from 1 species
UAAAACGUAGGAGGCGAGCGUUAUCCGGAAUUACUGGGUGUAAAGGGCGAGCAGGCGGUUGGAUAAGUUGGGUGUGAAAGCUCCCGGCUCAACUGGGAGAGGUUGCUCAAGACUGUUCGACUAGAGCGUGGUAGGGGAAGGCGGAAUUCCGGGUGUAGUGGUGAAAUGCGUAGAUAUCCGGAGGAACACCAGAGGCGAAAGCGGCCUUCUAGGCCACGGCUGACGCUCAGACGCGAAAGCUAGGGGAGCAAACGGG